UACGUAGGGUGCGAGCGUUGUUCGGAAUCACUGGGCGUAAAGCGCACGUAGGCGGAUCUUUUAAGUCAGGGGUGAAAUCCCGAGGCUCAACCUCGGAACUGCCUUUGAUACUGGGGAUCUCGAGUCCGGGAGAGGUGAGUGGAACUGCGAGUGUAGAGGUGAAAUUCGUAGAUAUUCGCAAGAACACCAGUGGCGAAGGCGGCUCACUGGCCCGGAACUGACGCUGAGGUGCGAAAGCGUGGGGAGCAAACAGG
rnacentral:rRNA from 1 species